rnacentral:miRNA from 1 species
AAGGCCUUUCUGAACCUUCAGA